UGAGAGGGUGACCGGCCACACUGGGACUGAGACACGGCCCAGACUCCUACGGGAGGCAGCAGUGGGGAAUAUUGGACAAUGGGCGGAAGCCUGAUCCAGCAACGCCGCGUGAGGGAUGACGGCCUUCGGGUUGUAAACCUCUUUCAGCAGGGACGAAGCUUUUUUGUGACGGUACCUGCAGAAGAAGCACCGGCCAACUACGUGCCAGCAGCCGCGGUAAUACGUAGGGAGCAAGCGUUGUCCGGAUUUAUUGGGCGUAAAGAGCUCGUAGGCGGCUUAGCAAGUCAGGUGUGAAACCUCCAGGCUCAACCUGGAGACGCCACUUGAUACUGCUAUGGCUUGAGUUCGGUAGGGGACCAUGGAAUUCCUGGUGUAGCGGUGAAAUGCACAGAUAUCAGGAGGAACACCGGUGGCGAAGGCGGGUCUCUGGGCCGAUACUGACGCUGAGGAGCGAAAGCGUGGGGAGCGAACAGGAUUAGAUACCCUGGUAGUCCACGCCGUAAACGUUGGGCGCUAGGUGUGGGGUCCCUUCCACGGGUUCCGUGCCGCAGCUAACGCAUUAAGCGCCCCGCCUGGGGAGUACGGAAUCUAG
rnacentral:rRNA from 1 species